rnacentral:rRNA from 1 species
CGCACGGGUGAGUAACACGUAUGGAACCUGCCCUAUGCAGGGGGAUAAGCGGAAGAAAUUCCGUCUAAUACCGCAUAACACCAUUUGGAGACAUCUCCAGGGGGUCAAAGGAGGCGACUCCGGCAUAGGAUGGCCAUGCGUCGCAUUAGCUAGUCGGCGGGGGUAACGGCCCACCGAGGCGACGAUGCGUAGGGGUUCUGAGAGGAAGGUCCCCCACACUGGUACUGAGACACGGACCAGACUCCUACGGAAGGCAGCAG